GAAACAUAGAAAACAAAACAUAGAAUGCCCACCCCACAUCACACCCUGACCUAACCAAAUAGAGAAAUAAAACAUCUCUCUAAGGUCAGGGCGUGACAACUAAGGGCACGAUUCAAUCUGUAGCGAUCAUGCAGAAUAUCAGCGUUGUAAAGCAGUUCGCAAUUAAAAGGGAAAUCUGUCGUUGCUACAUGCAUUUUUGGACUUAUAAAUUCAUUAUACAUACCAUACCCAUUGAUCCUUCAAGAAUAUAACUUAUAAAUGCCUCACAAAUAAAGGCCAAGUUCACAAUUUGUGUGAUUUAUUUUUCAUCAGGGUUCUGCAGCACCCUCAGCAGACCUACUUCACCCGGCUAUGUGCCUAUAGGCUCUGGGCCUAUAUAACACUCAAUACUGUAUAUCUGUAUCUAAUUAAAGAGUGAUAAUAUUAUAUUUCCCUGUGAUAAAGGAGGGCGCUAGCAGCACUGACUCUGGUAAUGUUAUUCAAAAGUAUUGCCAGUUAUUUUAUUGUAUAUUUCUUAAGUACAUAGUGAAUGCAGUUGAAACUAUGGAAGUGCUGAUGUUAGUUCUGCUGUUCCAGGUCAAGGCAGCAACGAACGUCUAGACAGGGAGGCAAUGCUGGCUAAUGGAGGUAAUAUAAUUUAUCAUUGUUAUUCUUUUUUUAUACAAUCGUGGCCUCCCAUCUCAUUCUUAAAAGUUGCAGUUUUUUUUAUGUUGAUUGUAUAACAAACCGUAUCUGAGCACUUAACAGAUUUGGUGCCAGCAGCCAUACCACCCUGCAUCCAACUACAGGCCUUGACACUACAAACCAUAUAUUAACCAACAUCCCCAAACAUCCCAACAAAUAUCAACAUCGAGAGACUACAUGGACAUGUAACAAUAACACACCACUACUAUGUAUUUCUUUAGGUUCAUGAAAUGGGUCCUUGUCCACCCACGACUCUGACAUUAAAGUGACUGACAGCGCAUCCAAACCAAAGAACGUGUGAUUCUGUUUUGUUAAUCAACAAACACUGUGAAUCUGGAUGUAUUCCUUUUCAAGCAUUUACCAUUCUGUUCAGAUAAGCUUGGAAAUGAAGGGAUUAGUUUAUGAUCGUUUUGAUCUUUUGAAAAUCGGAGUGGGAUUCCUUGUCAGAAUAAAAUGUGCCAAAAUAAAUGUGUUUUCACAUGAAUAA